UCUCACAUCCCUUGCAUGGUGGAGGGUGAGCUCUCUGAAAACCCCUCCCACAUGCAGGGUUUGCAGGA
ensembl:miRNA